rnacentral:rRNA from 1 species
AUCAAAUGGAGAGUUUGAUCCUGGCUCAGGAUGAACGCUGGCGGCAUGCCUAAUACAUGCAAGUCGAACGAAGUUUCGAGGAAGCUUGCUUCCAAAGAGACUUAGUGGCGAACGGGUGAGUAACACGUAGGUAACCUGCCCAUGUGUCCGGGAUAACUGCUGGAAACGGUAGCUAAAACCGGAUAGGUAUACAGAGCGCAUGCUCAGUAUAUUAAAGCGCCCAUCAAGGCGUGAACAUGGAUGGACCUGCGGCGCAUUAGCUAGUUGGUGAGGUAACGGCCCACCAAGGCGAUGAUGCGUAGCCGGCCUGAGAGGGUAAACGGCCACAUUGGGACUGAGACACGGCCCAAACUCCUACGGGAGGCAGCAGUAGGGAAUUUUCGUCAAUGGGGGAAACCCUGAACGAGCAAUGCCGCGUGAGUGAAGAAGGUCUUCGGAUCGUAAAGCUCUGUUGUAAGUGAAGAACGGCUCAUAGAGGAAAUGCUAUGGGAGUGACGGUAGCUUACCAGAAAGCCACGGCUAACUACGUGCCAGCAGCCGCGGUAAUACGUAGGUGGCAAGCGUUAUCCGGAAUCAUUGGGCGUAAAGGGUGCGUAGGUGGCGUACUAAGUCUGUAGUAAAAGGCAAUGGCUCAACCAUUGUAAGCUAUGGAAACUGGUAUGCUGGAGUGCAGAAGAGGGCGAUGGAAUUCCAUGUGUAGCGGUAAAAUGCGUAGAUAUAUGGAGGAACACCAGUGGCGAAGGCGGUCGCCUGGUCUGUAACUGACACUGAGGCACGAAAGCGUGGGGAGCAAAUAGGAUUAGAUACCCUAGUAGUCCACGCCGUAAACGAUGAGAACUAAGUGUUGGAGGAAUUCAGUGCUGCAGUUAACGCAAUAAGUUCUCCGCCUGGGGAGUAUGCACGCAAGUGUGAAACUCAAAGGAAUUGACGGGGGCCCGCACAAGCGGUGGAGUAUGUGGUUUAAUUCGAAGCAACGCGAAGAACCUUACCAGGCCUUGACAUGGA